AGUUUCGAGUCUGCCGAGCCGUCGAAGAAUCAAAAUCAAGUUGGCGCCUAAUUCGUUUUAUUGACCGGCGGUUCCUUUUGUCUGCGCGAUAGUGAUCAUCUCGUUUUUGUCAGCAGUCUGCUCUCUGUGAUGAGGAAUAAAGUGAGAGCCCGCCGCUCUUUCAUAUUAUGUAA